rnacentral:rRNA from 1 species
AUCCUUUCUCAGGACGAACGCUGGCGGCGUGCUUAACACAUGCAAGUCGAACGGAAAGGCCCCUUCGGGGGUACUCGAGUGGCGAACGGGUGAGUAACACGUGGGUAAUCUGCCCUGCACUUCGGGAUAAGCCUGGGAAACUGGGUCUAAUAGGGGAUAUGACCACGAGACGCAUGUCUUGUGGUGGAAAGCUUUUGCGGUGUGGGUUGGGCCCGCGGCCUAUCAGCUUGUUGGUGGGGUGAUGGCCUACCAAGGCGACGACGGGUAGCCGGCCUGAGAGGCUGUCCGGCCACACUGGGACUGAGAUACGGCCCAGACUCCUACGGGAGGCAGCAGUGGGGAAUAUUGCACAAUGGGCGCAAGCCUGAUGCAGCGACGCCGCGUGGGGGAUGACGGCCUUCGGGUUGUAAACCUCUUUCAGCAGGGACGAAGCGCUUGUGACGGUACCUGCAGAAGAAGCACCGGCCAACUACGUGCCAGCAGCCGCGGUAAUACGUAGGGUGCGAGCGUUGUCCGCAAUUACUGGGCGUAAAGAGCUCGUAGGUGGUUUGUCGCGUUGUUCGUGAAAACCGGGGGCUUAACCCUCGGCGUGCGGGCGAUACGGGCAGACUGGAGUACUGCAGGGGAGACUGGAAUUCCUGGUGUAGCGGUGGAAUGCGCAGAUAUCAGGAGGAACACCGGUGGCGAAGGCGGGUCUCUGGGCAGUAACUGACGCUGAGGAGCGAAAGCGUGGGGAGCGAACAGGAUUAGAUACCCUGGUAGUCCACGCCGUAAACGGUGGGUACUAGGUGUGGGUUUCCUUCCUUGGAAUCCGUGCCGUAGCUAACGCAUUAAGUACCCCGCCUGGGGAGUACGGCCGCAAGGCUAAAACUCAAAGGAAUUGACGGGGGCCCGCACAAGCGGCGGAGCAUGUGGAUUAAUUCGAUGCAACGCGAAGAACCUUACCUGGGUUUGACAUGCACAGGACGCCGGCAGAGAUGUCGGUUCCCUUGUGGCCUGUGUGCAGGUGGUGCAUGGCUGUCGUCAGCUCGUGUCGUGAGAUGUUGGGUUAAGUCCCGCAACGAGCGCAACCCUUGUCUCAUGUUGCCAGCACGUAAUGGUGGGGACUCGUGAGAGACUGCCGGGGUCAACUCGGAGGAAGGUGGGGAUGACGUCAAGUCAUCAUGCCCCUUAUGUCCAGGGCUUCACACAUGCUACAAUCCCCGGUACAAAGGGCUGCGAUGCCGUAAGGUUAAGCGAAUCCUUUUAAAGCCGGUCUCAGUUCGGAUCGGGGUCUGCAACUCGACCCCGUGAAGUCGGAGUCGCUAGUAAUCGCAGAUCAGCAACGCUGCGGUGAAUACGUUCCCGGGCCUUGUACACAGGGCCCGUCACGUCAUGAAAGUCGGUAACACCCGAAGCCAGUGGCCUAACCUUUUGGAGGGAGCUGUCGAAGGUGGGAUC